AGUGAACGCUGGCGGUAGGCCUAACACAUGCAAGUCGAACGGCAGCACAGUAAGAGCUUGCUCUUACGGGUGGCGAGUGGCGGACGGGUGAGGAAUACAUCGGAAUCUACUUUUUCGUGGGGGAUAACGUAGGGAAACUUACGCUAAUACCGCAUACGACCUACGGGUGAAAGCAGGGGAUCUUCGGACCUUGCGCGAUUGAAUGAGACGAUGUCGGAUUAGCUAGUUGGCGGGGUAAAGGCCCACCAAGGCGACGAUCCGUAGCUGGUCUGAGAGGAUGAUCAGCCACACUGGAACUGAGACACGGUCCAGACUCCUACGGGAGGCAGCAGUGGGGAAUAUUGGACAAUGGGCGCAAGCCUGAUCCAGCCAUGCCGCGUGGGUGAAGAAGGCCUUCGGGUUGUAAAGCCCUUUUGUUGGGAAAGAAAAGCAGCAGGUGAAUACCCCGCUGUUCUGACGGUACCCAAAGAAUAAGCACCGGCUAACUUCGUG
rnacentral:rRNA from 1 species